AGUAGCGUGAGGGAUGACUGCCCUAUGGGUUGUAAACCUCUUUUAUAAGGGAAUAAAGUCCGGUACGCGUACCGGUUUGUAUGUACCUUAUGAAUAAGCAUCGGCUAACUCCGUG
rnacentral:rRNA from 1 species